GGCUGGUCUGAAGGUAGUGCAUUAUCUCAGUUGAUUGUUCACAGUCACUUGCAGAUCAAACUCCUUGUUCUACUCUUUACCCCCUCUCACCACUGGACUUGAUUAUUAA
rnacentral:Y_RNA from 1 species